UUCCCUCUGUGACAACCUAGUCUGAUCAUUUUACAAAACAACUAAACACCCUGAGUGAUCUUCACGCGCCCCGUGAGAUCCUCCUAACGUAGCUGCAGUCAAGCGUCCCCAUCUCCAUUCCCGUCCGUAGGGUACGAACUGGUAGGAUCGUCCUGAUUCUCAUCUGAGGGCAAAGCCCAGAUUUCCACAAUAAUUGUAAAGGGUCACCAACCGAAAUUAACAGAUAACACAUAACAUUUAAGUUUUAAAUGCACAAAAUAACCUUUCAACUAAGCAUGCACCUUAAAAUGAUUUUCCAUAUGCUAAAAGUUCAUAUAAUGUUUGCCAAUUAACAAUGAACUCAAAAUGAAGUUCUCAAACCAUCAAGUAAUACAUAACUGACCAAAGCAUUGAUAAAUCAAUUGAGCAAUCGAUUAUCUAACUCAAAAUAAGGACUUUUGCUGAGUUCCUGCCUCUCUGCCAAUCGAUUUCCAAAUCGAUUUCGUAAAAGAUUUUGAAAGAUAUAUUUAUACAAUCGAUUGGCAAAUCGAUUAGGUUAAAACAGUGAACUUCAUGCAACUCAUCCAAUCGAUUGGGAAAUCGAUUUCCCUACUUAUUCUUCCAAAAAAUACUUAAACUAAUUCAAUCACAUUCAUACAUAAUCCCAAAUCUUAACACUUAGCACUGAUAACGCAAUCGCUACAACAACAUGAGUUUCGAAAUAGUAUUGCAAUCAAACAUGCUAUCACCAAAUUCCAAAACAUAACACUUAACACUUAUAACACAAUACUACAACAUCAUGGGUUUCGAAAUGGUAUUGCAAUCAAACAUGUUAUCACCAAAUUCCAAAACAUAACACUUAACACUUAUAACACAAUACUACAACAUCAUGGGUUUCGAAAUGGUAUUGCAAUCAAACAUGUUAUCACCAAAUUCCAAAACAUACACUUAACACUUAUAACACAAUACUACACAGACAAAAUGAACCAACAAUUCACAAUUUAACAGGGUGUAGUCUCUCACGGACAAACACAUGUGCAGUCUCUCACGGACAAACACAAUUCACCAAGAAACGUAAGUCGUAAACGUACCACCUAUCACGGGUCAGUACUGUUUACCGAGGUGCCACCUAUCACGGGUCAACACAACUUACACAACGUAAAUCGUAAACGUACUGCCUAUCACGGGUCCGUAUCGUUUACCAAGGUGCCACCUAUCGCGGGUCAGCACGAUUUACCAAAACUCACAUAAGUAAACAAGACAUUAAGAGAUUCCCCAUUCUUAAUUCUUAUUUAACUUAAACUAGGGCGUAGUCUCUCACGGACAAACCCCUGUGCAGUCUCUCACGGACAAACAUAAAUGGUUUUCAAAACAAAAUGUUAAGUAACCGAGACAUUAAGAGAUUCCCCAUUCUUAACGCCCAGUUAACUUAAACGAUUUUCAAAAACAAAUAUUAAGUAACCGAGACAUUAAGAGAUUCCCCCUUCUUAACGCCCAGUUAACUUAAACGAUUUUCAAAAACAAAUAUUAAGUAACCGAGACAUUAAGAGAUUCCCCCUUCUUAACGCCCAGUUAACUUAAACGAUUUUCAAAAACAAAUAUUAAGUAACCGAGACAUUAAGAGAUUCCCCAUUCUUAACGCCCAGUUAACUUAAACGAUUUUUCUUUAAAACAAAAUAUUAAGUAACCGAGACAUUAAGAGAUUCCCCAUUCUUAACGCCCAGUUAACUUAAACGAUUUUCAAAAACAAAUAUUAAGUAACCGAGACAUUAAGAGAUUCCCCAUUCUUAACGCCCAGUUAACUUAAACGAUUUUCAAAAACAAAUAUUAAGUAACCGAGACAUUAAGAGAUUCCCCAUUCUUAACGCCCAGUUAACUUAAACGAUUUUCAAAAACAAAUAUUAAGUAACCGAGACAUUAAGAGAUUCCCCAUUCUUAACGCCCAGUUAACUUAAACGAUUUUUCACAAACAAACACACAUUAAGUAAACAAGACAUUAAGAGAUUCCCCAUUCUUAAUACUCAUUUAACUUAAUGGUUUUCAAAUUCUACACAAAACAAACUCAAACAAAUUCUCACAUUCAAUUCAUAAUUCACACCAAAACACAUCAAUCAACAAACAUCAAGUAUGAACAUGCCAAAUACGAUGAACACAAAUCAACAUAAUAAAUUUCAUUUAUUCAAAAUCUUACAUCAUAAGGUAAAAUCAUUUUUCCCAAAACAAUACUCCAAUCCUAACACAAUUCGUUUCCACACAACCACAGAUAAGGCCCUAGAUGCAAACUAAAAGUUUGGAAGGAGCCCUUACCUUAACGUUAGCUUUAACGUGGGUUUCCGGUACCGCGAGUAAAACCGGUAAAAAUCUUCGCUCGCAACGUCGCC
rnacentral:lncRNA from 1 species